GUGAAUCGUUCGAUAACAAAACAAAAAUGAACGGUUCAAGGAGAGGUUAACGCAUAGUUAACGCGAAAACCUUUCUUAUUAAGUUUUUAAGGGCAAAAUCGUAAAUCUUUGGCGCGUAACUUUAGGACUGGGCUUAUAUAAAGGACGAUCUCUGUCCUCUUUUUCUCCUCAGAAAACGCUUCUUCAUUUGCCUCAUUAUUACCAAAUCAUUCAUAAGCGUUUCUCUCAAAUUUAGGGUUUUCUUUUAGUAUCUCUUCGAAAUUGUCUCAAGAGCUUUUAUCAUUCAAAAGUCUUUCGUUUUCCUGAAUCAUCUUUUAUCUGGUUUGAAGGUUUUCGUUUGAUAUCUGGAAGGAGGGAUUUUUCAGUCUGUGGUCUACAUCUAAAUUCAUAUAUUAUAU